CCUACGGGUGACAGCAGUGAGGAAUAUUGGUCAAUGGACGCAAGUCUGAACCAGCCAUGCCGCGUGCAGGAAGACGGCUCUAUGAGUUGUAAACUGCUUUUGUACGAGGGUAAACGCAGAUACGCGUAUCUGUCUGAAAGUAUAGUACGAAUAAGGCUCGGCUAACUCCGUGCCAGCAGCCCCGGGAAUACGGAGGAUUCAAGCGUUAUCCGGAUUUAUUGGGUUUAAAGGGUGCGUAGGCGGUCGGAUAAGUUAGAGGUGAAAUCCCGAGGCUCAACUUCGGAAUUGCCUCUGAUACUGUUCGGCUAGAGAGUAGUUGCGGUAGGCGGAAUGUAUGGUGUAGCGGUGAAAUGCUUAGAGAUCAUACAGAACACCGAUUGCGAAGGCAGCUUACCAAGCUACUUCUGACGUUGAGGCACGAAAGCGUGGGUAGCAAACAGGAUUAGAUACCCCUGUAGUC
rnacentral:rRNA from 1 species